rnacentral:rRNA from 1 species
UACGGAGGGUGCAAGCGUUAUCCGGAUUCACUGGGUUUAAAGGGUGCGUAGGUGGGCAGGUAAGUCAGUGGUGAAAUCUCCGGGCUUAACCCGGAAACUGCCAUUGAUACUAUCUGUCUUGAAUACCCUGGAGGUGAGCGGAAUAUGUCAUGUAGCGGUGAAAUGCUUAGAUAUGACAUAGAACACCCAUUGCGAAGGCAGCUCACUAAGCAGAUAUUGACGCUGAGGCACGAAAGCGUGGGGAUCAAACAGG